AAUAGAUACCCUGGUAGUCCAUGACCGUAAACGUUGGGAACUAGAUGUGGGGACCAUUCCACGGUCUCCGUGUCGCAGCUAACGCAUUAAGUUCCCCGCCUGGGGAGUACGGGCCGCAAGGCUAAAACUCAAAGGAAUUGACGGGGGCCCGCGACAAGCGGCGGAGCAUGCGGAUUAAUUCGAUGCAACGCGAAGAACCUUACCAGGGCUUGACAUAUACGAGAACGCUCUAGAAAUAGAGAACUCUUUGGACACUCGUAUACAGGUGGUGUAUGGUUGUCGUCAGCUCGUGUCGUGAGAUGUUGGGUUAAGUCCCGCAACGAGCGCAACCCUCGUCGUAUGUUGCCAGCACGUAAUGGUGGGAACUCAUAUGAGACUGCCGGGGUCAACUCGGAGGAAGGUGGGGAUGGAGGUCAAAUCAUCAUGCCCCUUAUGUCCUGGGCUUCACGCAUGCUACAAUGGCCGGUACAAAGGGCUGCAAUACCGCAAGGUGGAGCGAAUCCCAAAAAGCCGGUCUCAGUUCGGA
rnacentral:rRNA from 1 species